AGUGGGGGAUAUUGGGCAAUGGGCGAAAGCCGUGACCCAGCGACGCCGUGUGGGCGAUGAAGGCCUUCGGGUUGUAAAGCCCUGUGAGGUGGAAAGAAGGGUCCAGAGGUUAAUACCCUUUGGACCUUGACGGUACCACCAGAGGAAGCACCGGCUAACUCCGUGCCAGCAGCCGCGGUAAUACGGAGGGUGCAAGCGUUGUUCGGAAUUACUGGGCGUAAAGGGCGCGUAGGUGGUUGUGUAUGUCAGAUGUGAAAUCCUCAAGGCUCAACCUUAGAACUGCAUCUGAAACUGCAUGACUAGAGUACAGCAGAGGGAAACGGAAUUCCUGGUGUAGAGGUGAAAUUCGUAGAUAUCAGGAGGAACACCGGUGGCGAAGGCGGUUUCCUGGGCUGAUACUGACACUGAGGCGCGAAAGCGUGGGGAGCAAACAGGAUUAGAUACCCUGGUAGUCCACGCUGUAAACGGUGAGUACUGGGUGUGGGAGGUGUAAUGCCUUCUGUGCCGAAGCUAACGCGUUAAGUACUCCGC
rnacentral:rRNA from 1 species